GCCUUCCUCCCCGCUGAAAGUACUUUACAACCCGAAGGCCUUCUUCAUACACGCGGCAUGGCUGCAUCAGGCUUGCGCCCAUUGUGCAAUAUUCCCCACUGCUGCCUCCCGUAGGAGUCUGGACCGUGUCUCAGUUCCAGUGUGGCUGGUCAUCCUCUCAGACCAGCUAGGGAUCGUCGCCUAGGUGAGCCGUUACCCCACCUACUAGCUAAUCCCAUCUGGGCACAUCUGAUGGCAAGAGGCCCGAAGGUCCCCCUCUUUGGUCUUGCGACGUUAUGCGGUAUUAGCUACCGUUUCCAGUAGUUAUCCCCCUCCAUCAGGCAGUUUCCCAGACAUUACUCACCCGUCCGCCGCUCGCCGGCAAAGUAGCAAGCUACUUUCCGCUGCCGCUCGACUUGCAUGUGUUAGGCCUGCCGCCAGCGUU
rnacentral:rRNA from 1 species